ensembl:lncRNA
AUUCCAUUCUCUCUCUCUCGUUUCCUCAGUUCCUCCAGUCUUCUUUCCCCUAUCGGUUGUUGCAGAUAUCUUUGGGUUCGCCAGUCUUAUCUAUUGUUCUCUCCCCAAAACCCAAAUAAAUACCUAGUGCAGAAACACAAGGUUAUGAAGAACGAUUUGAAAUCAAUGUAGCCUGGCUUGUCCCAGAUCUGUUUCUGCUCUCUUGCCAACUCGUUAUGGAAUUGUUAUGCCAAACAUAUUUGGCUUGACAAUGACAGCAAAAGGAGUUGGCAAGAGCACAACCAGAUCAGGGACCAGCCAGGCUAGGAAGAAAGUAUGAUGCCCACGUAACUGAAGGAAGGCCAAUGAACUACUGUGAGAAUUCCGUGAGGUGUGUGACAGACACGAGCUCACCCGGUCACAGACUUAGAUCACACAGUCCUAUCAGAGCCACUUUCCAAUGAAGAACUAGAACUUGUGGAAUGGACACAAGGGUUUAGCGUGAUAACAGUGGCAGUUAUCAAUCAAUGUAGCUGUUCAUUUCAACCCUGAACCUCUAAAGCUGCCUCGCAUGUUGAUCAAUAUCCAUCACUGAUGUCUGACUGGCUGUGGUCGCAGUGGAAACAUGACAGGCUGUGUCACCGUGGUAACUAGGACAGCUGUGGUGGCAGGCCGAUCAUCGGUGUGUAUGUCAACAGUCCCACGUGUUUGCCCCACACGGUCCCGUUGAGAGCCAGGCUGCUGUGUUGAGAAACCCUUGAGGGGGCUUUGUCAAAUUCUACCAGAGAGAGGAGACAUGCUGUUGGACUAUUAUUUGUCCUCUACCCCCUCUGGUUCUGAUACAAGGGCCCAGGCAGAGCUUCUCCGUGGAGGCCCAGGCAGAGCUUCUCCGUGGAGACCCAGGCAGAGCUUCUCCGUGGAGACUCAGGCAGAGCUUCUCCGUGGAGACCCAGGCAGAGCUUCUCCGUGGAGACCCAGGCAGAGCUUCUCCGUGGAGACCCAGGCAGAGCUUCUCCGUGGAGACCCAGGCAGAGCUUCUCCGUGGAGACCCAGGCAGAGCUUCUCCAUGGAGACCCAGGCAGAGUGUUGUGGACCUGGGUAGAGGAGGAUGUGUUGUCUGGCCUGGGGAUCACCUGGUUAGACAGUCAGUGGCACAUAAUGGGCAAAUAAAAAUGAUCUUACUUCAGUAAAUCCUGCCUGGUAUAGCAGAGAAUGGCCUAGUGACAGCAACUGUCACGUAAACCCAAUUGGCGCUCAUCAAUGGAUCAGCUAGCCCAUUAGACUGGAUGGACUAGAAAUCUCUUCAUUCUGCCCAUAAAAGGGGGUGGUGGGGUGGAUCCGGGGGCAGAUAGAGAGAGCGAUGGGUUUAUCUAUGAGAGCUUUGUGUGUCAGCAGACAUGGCCAUGAAUGCUACCAAUUGUUUCCCCCAGCAGACUGCAGAGGCUGCAGCUCCUACACACUCUCUGGGAUGGAGUUCCUUUGGAGUCGUUAAUGAACUGAACAGACCACUUUACGCAUCUCUCAAAGAGUCCCA